rnacentral:rRNA from 1 species
CAGCAGCCACGGUAAUACGGAGGGGGCUAGCGUUGUUCGGAAUUACUGGGCGUAAAGCGCACGUAGGCUGCUUUGUAAGUUAGAGGUGAAAGCCUGGUGCUCAACACCAGAACUGCCUUUAAGACUGCAGAGCUAGAACGUCGGAGAGGUGAGUGGAAUUCCGAGUGUAGAGGUGAAGUUCGUAGAUAUUCGGAAGAACACCAGUGGCGAAGGCGGCUCACUGGACGACUGUUGACGCUGAGGUGCGAAAGCGUGGGGAGCAAACAGGAUUAGAUACCCGGGUAGUCCCUGUCUCUUAUAC